rnacentral:rRNA from 1 species
UACGGGGGGGCAAGCGUUGUUCGGAAUUACUGGGCGUAAAGGGCUCGUAGGCGGCCAACUAAGUCAGACGUGAAAUCCCUCGGCUUAACCGGGAACUGCGUCGUGAUACUGGUUGGCUUGAAUCGGAGAGGGAUGUGGAAGUUCAGGUGUAGCGGUGAAUGACGUAGAUAUCAGGAAGAACACCCGUGGCUAAGGCGGCUCUCUAGUACGGUACUGACGCUGAGACGCGAAGCGUGGGGAGCGAACAGG